UACGUAGGGUGCAAGCGUUAAUCGGAAUUACUGGGCGUAAAGCGUGCGCAGGCGGUUUUGUAAGCCCGAUGUGAAAUCCCCGGGCUUAACCUGGGAAUGGCAUUUGGGACUGCAAGGCUGGAGUUUGGCAGAGGAGACUGGAAUUCCUGGUGUAGCAGUGAAAUGCGUAGAUAUCAGGAGGAAUACCGAUGGCGAAGGCAGGUCUCUGGGCUAUAACUGACGCUCAUGCACGAAAGCGUGGGGAGCAAACAGG
rnacentral:rRNA from 1 species